rnacentral:rRNA from 1 species
GAUGAACGCUGGCGGCGUGCUUAACACAUGCAAGUCGAGCGAGAAGUUUUGAACAGAUUCUUCGGAUGAAAUUUAAAAUGGAAAGCGGCGGACGGGUGAGUAACGCGUAGGCAACCUGCCCCAUACAAAGGGAUAGCAUUUGGAAACGAAUAUUAAUACCUUAUGAAACUUAACUAGUGCAUGCUAGGUAGGUCAAAGAUUUAUCGGUAUGGGAUGGGCCUGCGUCUGAUUAGCUAGUUGGUGAGGUAACGGCUCACCAAGGCGACGAUCAGUAGCCGACCUGAGAGGGUGAACGGCCACAUUGGAACUGAGACACGGUCCAAACUCCUACGGGAGGCAGCAGUGGGGAAUAUUGCACAAUGGGGGAAACCCUGAUGCAGCAACGCCGCGUGAACGGUGAAGGCCUUUGGGUCGUAAAGUUCUGUUCUAGGUGAUGAAAACUGACAGUAACCGAGGAGAAAGCCCCGGCUAACUCCGUG